rnacentral:lncRNA from 1 species
UCCGAUUAACAGUACAGUCGUCGGUAUUCCGUCGGAAUUUUUCGACGAAUUUCUGACAAACCAUGUGACCGUUGCCGACAAAUAUAUAUGACCGUUGUAUAGCCGUUUGAGAUUGGAAAAUACCGACGGUAUUCCGACGGACUGCCUUACACCCGUCGGAAUUUCGUCGGAAGGUCGUCGGAGGGCCGUAAGCAAUUUCCUAUAAAUACAACCCCUCCUC